GGCACGGAUUCAUUCGUUCGUACACUCAAGACUGGUUGCUUCUUUGUUUCUAAAACUAGUUUCUUGCGCUUCUAUGUAACUUGGGGUGAAGUUACGUGUUUGCAAGCGGACAUGUAAGCCCGGCAGUUGGGUUUCGGUCGUGAGCCAUUCGGAACAGGUCUGCAUCGAAACGGGAGCUGGAUUUUGCUGCGGCUGACAACGGCAAUAACGGUGAGUCGUUUAACACCGCUGCUUCAAUCGUUAUAUAAUAUCUGUCUCAUUACCUUCCAGGCGGGCACAAGUUAACGAACUAGAUCUUGCAUUACAUAUGGGCAGUGAGGAUCUCAGUUGCUGUUUCCUAAAUAAACCUUUACUUGCGAGGCUGUCGUUGGGUUUACACACACAACCAGGAAAGAAAGAGCGAUAUCGGAACGCGCGUCUCAUUUUUCAUGUUAUUGUAGCCGUGGUUGUAGGUGACUGAGUAGCCUUAUCAAUAUACAGAUUAAACUUUUUUUCGAGUCGGCCGGCAACGUCUGUCGUCCACAAAACCGAAUAAUCCUUUGGUAAAAUGAAGUGAAAGUACAGAAUUUAAUGUAUUAAACAGUUGCAAGCAUGAUACCCAUAUUUCGUACUUGUUGGUUCCAAAUGUUCUUGCUGUUCAGAUUGGUUUACCGUAGGGCAUUUAUUUUUGCAGUAGUGAAGCGGUGCGUCACGUUCGUGGAGAAAAAUAAUGCAUCAGUUCUAAUAGCUUCAUGACUUUCAUGCAUUUGCUUGAGUAACUAGCAGUGUGAUCACUUCUAGAGCAUAAAUGAACCCACAAAUGUUCUCAUUUGUGAUCUUAAUAGUACUUGCGCUGUUGACAUGCAUUGUAGUUAGGCAGACAUCAAUUUUAUGGGCAAUAGCAAUAUUUAUUUAACAUGCUGCUUAAGCACCCUAGAAUAGACAGUGUACAUUUGCAUGUGUUCUGUAGUCGCAAAUCAUUACAACAUAUAUGUCACACCUUUUUGCAUUUCAUAUUGCAAAACUUUGCUUUUUCAAUUUCUGAUUCAGUCAAAAUUUCUGUUCCAGACAUGCAGUAAUGAGGACGGCACCAGUAUAAAGCAACACACUCCACGCACUAAACAGAAGCUGCUGCCUGCUACGACAAGGUCAUUGUGUGGACAUUGGCUACUACUACAAGAGUCUAUGCCAAGCACAUCUUGGUCAUCACAGGAGCUCCUAUCUGCACCAACAGGAAGGGGCUGGAGCCGAAUUUGCAAGGCUUUUACACCAAGAACAAAGAAGCACAUGCACAAGAAUAUGGAUGAGAUAUCAAGUCUGCAAAGGACUGUGUUAAGACUGCAAAGAGCUUCAGCCACCAUUCCACCAGCACGGACAUUUGGCUGAGUCAUCCAAGUAACUCAAAAAGGACUUUCUAGAAAUUCUUCGUCUUCAGAUGCACCUGCAACAUCUGACCAAGCACGGACGACGCUGGCCAAAAGAUUGAGUUUCAUCAGUUCGUCCUUAAUCAGCUUCCAAGCCAUGUUAAUUCCGUUUGUGCGAAGUGUAAUUUUUCUUCUAUAAAUGCAAGCUUUCUCAUUGCCCAUUUUUGUUAGAGGUUAUUCAUCCUCAUCCAAAUAUAAAGGUCAACCUUUAUAUUUGGAUAUUUCGCUGAUACUUAAUACCAGUCACUGUCUAGCAGCCUAACAUAUCUGUAGCAGUAUCUUCUAGUGUAUGUUGUCAUGCGCAAUUACUCUCCUGAAAUAGCUGAUGCAGCAUCGGCAUGCGUCUUGCAUUAACCUAUGCACAUGUGCUAUGCACCAUUUUACUUUUCUUGGUGUUUUUAGCCUUCAAUGCUUGCAGAGCAGAGUGGCUUCUCUCUUGAAUGCAAGCUUUCUCAUUUUCCAUAUUCCUAGUCUCGUUGAUGAUUGCUCCUCUUCCUUGAUAGCCUGGGUCUUUGUGCAAGCUACAGUGAAGUGAUUGAUUGCAGAAUCUGGUUUUGCUGCCACACUUGGUUGUGGUAACUGUGUUACAGAUGUGGGGGCCUGGUCAGUUGCAUUGGUAAGCAGUCCCUCGAGGUAAGCAUUUGCUCCUGCAGUCCGCAAAGCGACAUAGACUCCCAGUAUACACACACCGUAACUGGUGCGCCCCGUUCGUUCUGGCCUGCUGCAGCCAUGGGCAAAUUGUGCUUGUGGCCUACCUCGGCCAUGAUUUGCUCAAAACGGAGACCAGCAUAUGUGCUUACAUGGUUCGAAGUGUAUGAAGUUGAUAGCCGUAUGGGUGGAAAGGCCCGCAAGAAUGGCUGCCGAAGGUGAUGCCCACAAAAGCGACUUGUCCACAUUGCGACAAAGUGGGACACAAAGUGUGAGCCACACAUAGCGGCCCCCGAAAGAAAAUAAAUGUGCAGGUUGGAAAGGAGUUAACGCUAAAAUGCCGGGUAGUCCAUGUUGCUGUGUUGGUUGCGGCAGCAGAUGCCUGCGUCACCUGAUUGCUUCGCAAUGGAAGUUGCUCAUCUUCAACGGCAACUGUUGGUUCAAACAGGUGCAAGGCUCUGUCCAAUCUGUUUGUACCGCAGGUUGUCGCUCGUUACCAGACCACCACAUGUGACAAAGGCAAGCAUUAUGCCUGUAAGAUGGUACGUAGCCAAUGUAUAAUGUAUUGUCAACCUCAAGCGGUGACUGAUUGCCGUUUAAUUUUGCUGUUAUGUCACUUGGUUACGGUCGCAGUUUUAUGUUUUUCGAAUAUUGCUGCCUGGUCGGUUGCACUGGGAAGCAGCCUCUCGAAGUAAGAAUUUGAUCCUGCAGUCUGCACAGCGACAUAGACUCCCAAUUUACGCACACCGUGAUUCGUGCUCCCCGUUCACCCUUUCCUGCUGCAGCCAUGGGCAAAUUGUGCCUCUGGCCUUUCUCGGCCGCGAUUAGGCAUGAACGGAGACCAGCAUAAGUGCUUACAUGGUCGGACGUGUAUGAAGUUGGGUGGAAAGGCCCGCAAAAGUGGCCGAUGAAGGUGAUGCCCACGAAAGCGACUUGUCCAUAUUGAGACAAUGUGGGACACCAAGUGUGAGCCACACAUUAGCGGCCUCCAAAAGAAAAGAAACAUGCAGGCUGGAAAGGAGUCAAUGCUAAAAUGAUGGGUAGUCCAUGUCGCUGUGUAGGCUGCGGCAGCAGAUGCCUGCGUCACCCGACUGCUUUGCACUGCAAGUUGCUCAUCUUUAACAGCGACUGUCGCCGCAAACAGGUGGGACACUCUGUCCAAUCUGUUUCUGCUGCUGGUUGUUGCUCGUUAGUAGACCACCACGUGCGACGAAGUCGGGCACUACGCCUGUAGGUAGGCAGCUCAAUGUACCCUAAGAGACCCGUGUAUGUGAAUGCUCACUGUUGCCAUAUGGUUCGUCGCCAAUGUAUGAUGUAUUGUCUGAACCUCAUGCGGUGACUGAUUGCUGUUUAAUUUUGCUGUUAUGUCACUUGAUUAUGGUCGCAGUGUUAUGUUUUUCGAAUAUUGCGGCCUGGUCGGUUGAACUGGGAAGCAGCCUCUCGAAGUAAGAAUUUGAUCCUGCAGUCUGCACAGCGACAUAGACUCCCAAUUUACGCACACCGUGAUUCGUGCUCCCCAUUCACCCUUUCCUGCUGCAGCCAUGGGCAAAUUGUGCCUCUGGCCUUUCUCGGCCGCGAUUAGGCAUGAACGGAGACCAGCAUAAGUGCUUACAUGGUCGGACCUGUAUGAAGUUGGGUGGAAAGGCCCGCAAAAGUGGCUGAUGAAGGUGAUGCCCACGAAAGCGACUUGUCCAUAUUGAGACAAUGUGGGACACCAAGUGUGAGCCACACAUUAGCGGCCUCCAAAAGAAAGAAACAUGCAGGCUGGAAAGGUGUCAAUGCUAAAAUGAUGGGUAGUCCAUGUCACUGUGUAGGCUGCGGCAGCAGAUGCCUGCGUCACCCGACUGCUUUGCACUGCAAAUUGCUCAUCUUUAACAGCGACUGUCGCCGCAAACAGGUGGGACACUCUGUCCAAUCUGUUUCUGCUGCUGGUUGUUGCUCGUUAGUAGACCACCACGUGCGACGAAGUCGGGCACUACGCCUGUAGGUAGGCAGCUCAAUGUACCCUAAGAGACCCGUGUAUGUGAAUGCUCACUGUUGCCAUAUAGUUCGUCGCCAAUGUAUAACGUAUUGUCUGAACCUCAUGCGGUGACUGAUUGCUGUUUAAUUUUGCUGUUAUGUCACUUGGUUAUGGUCGCAGUGUUAUGUUUUUAGAAUAUUGCGGCCUGGUCGGUUGCACUGGGAAGCAGUCUCUCGAAGUAAGCAUUCGCUCCUGCAGCCUGCACAGCGACAUAGACUCCCAAUUUUCAUGCACCGUGAUUCGUGCUCCCCGUUCGCGCUUUCCUGCUGCAGCAAUGGGCAUAUUGUGCCUCUGGCCUUUCUCGGCCGCGAUUAGGCAUGAACGGAGACCAGCAUACGUGCUUACAUAGUCCGAUGCGUAUAAAGUUGAUAGCUACAUGGGUGGAAAGGCCCGCAAAAGUAGCUGAUGGAGGCGAUGCCCACGAAAGCGACUUGUCCAUAGCGAGACAAUGUGAGACACCAAGUGUGAGCCACACAUUAGCGGCCCCCGAAAGAAAAGAAACGUGCAGGUUGGAAAGGAGUGAACGGCUAAAAUCUGGGGUAGCCCAUGUCGCUGUGUAGGCUGCGGCAGCAGAUGCCUGCGUCUCCCGAUUGCUUCGCAAUGCAAUUUGGGCAUUUUUAACGGCGACUGUCGCUGCAAAUAAGUGGCACACUCUGUCCAAUAUGUUUCCGCUGCUGGUUCUUGCUCGUUAACCUGACCACCACGUGCGACGACGACGGUGAGCCGUUUACGAGCUCGCGUCAAUGAUUCCAGCGUAUCUCGACAUGCAAAUUUUAUUUCUGCUAUUGCACGAGGAUGUACACUGCUUGUCUUCUGCCAAUAAAGUCGCGCGUUCUGUUCA